CCGCGGCUAUUUUAAGGAGCGUGCCCGAGCCCCUCCCUUGAUCUGCAAGCCCAGCCCCUCCCAAGCUCGUUGGAGCAACCACCCCUGCCCAAUUUGGCAGCUCCGGACGCCAUUGCCUCCGUCAGUCCUGCUCAAAGUCGAGCUAGCGGUGACUCCCCUGACCCUCUUUUCCCCUCUAGAAGAACCACCAGAGCCCCUCGAGCCCUCCCCUAUCCUCGUUCCAUCCCUGGGUCAUUCGUGGCCUCGCCUUCGAAUCUGGCCGGAGCCCUCACCCGCGGGAGCCUACGUCGUCGCCGCUCGGAUCCUCGUCGCCGCCCAUGCUCUAGUAGGACGGAGGCGGCGUCCUCUCCUGAGCACGCCGGUGGCCGAGGCGCUUCGGGGGAUGGCCGGAGCCGUCGGGGGCCAGCGCCGGUGCCGCGCAGCCUCUCCUCUGCCUUCUCUGCCGCGGGAGGAAGAAGAAAGAGGAGGAGAGAGAGCGACUCGACAGGUGGGCCCUAACCCCACCUGUCGGUGAGAGGAGGUCUGAUACCGCUGGAUAAGUGGAUGCGUAACGCUAGUAAUGCGCUUUCCUUUUUGGAAAGCGUAUUUCCAGAGAAGGCGCCAUCAGUUUUUCCAGCUAGGACUUGAUAGUAAAUAUUUUAAUUGCAGAUCGGUCCUUCUACUUCAAACACCCAUAGCUUUUCAUCCAUAGCUCCGAUUAAGGUGAUUCCAACGCCCACGUCUUCGUCUCGUCGAGCCCUUCAUGUUGGUAUCAUUUUCAUUAUGUGUUCACAUUCUCAAAAUGACCAUGUUGCCCUUGCCCUUCUAUCAACCUUCUUCGAGAGAGAAUAGUUCCUGGCGAUCCUUUCUGCGGACUCUCCGCACUUCUUCCGGGAGUAUUCUUCUACCCCAUGCAAGCCAACCAUCUGAUAUAUGCCCUAAAGCAUUGCUCUGUGUUUUUCUUGUGUGUUUAAUUAAUGAUAUGCUUGUGGUAGAAAUAAUUAAACUCCCGCCAUUUCGAUAUUGUCAUUUACAUUACCUGCUACUGCUCAUCUUAUCAUUGCAUUCAUGACUUGUCGUGAUGGAUGGUUAUGUUUUUAUCAUGCUUAGCUACUACCAUCUCAAGUUAUUAUGAUAAACAACCAUGCUUGUUAAACACUUGCUAUGGCUAAACCUAGUCGGUUGAUCUAGAGUCACCUAUCGGGGCUUAUCCGUGCAACCACAUUUGCCGGUAUGGGACGAACUUGACUUGGUCUGAUCGUGUGCUCUUCCACCGGUACCACCAGACAGGGAAGGUUAUGCGCGCGCGCUACCUUGACCCGGUAGGCGGCGAUAACCUUGUGAGCCAGUUGAUUGUUUUGUGCCAGCGUCCCCGUUUGGGACAAUUUUGUUUGGCCACGACGGUGAAAGGUGUCAUGAGGACACAGGGGCCACCCAAGGCAGGACUCCGGGUGAGGAUGAAUGCCGGUGGUACGAUGGAAGAGGUACGGGUCAGGCAGGUUUCGUUGGAGCAACACAGGUCCAUCCGAAUGGGAUAACGAGGUCAGUGCUCCAUCGUGUGGGUAAAGUGUGCAACCUCUGCGGAGUGUAAAAUUUAUUAGAAUAGCCGUGUCCAGGGUAUUGGACAUCCCGUCUAGACCUCACUAGGUUGUCAACUGUAAAGGUGAUAAUAAUGAUGGAAGAACUCGUCUUGUGCAGACAUCCGAUGAUGUCAGGAAUAUGAUAUGUUAGCCAUGGGAUGGCUAUGAGAUGGGUGGACGGAUGACCACAUGAGUUGGAUUAGAUUUGGAUCAGAUUGAGAUUGGAUCGUCAUGACAUUCAGAGUAUAAAUCAUUUACUUAAUAUGCUUUACCUUAUCGUAUUUACUUUAGUAGUUAUCUUGCUAGAUAGUCCUAUUAUAUCAUGAUAUUUAAUCCUGCUAGAUAGGUAAGCUAUGCCAUGAUAAUUAACAUUGCUCUAAUAACAAGUGCAUGCUUGAAUGCCAUAGAUUGCAUUGCUUAGUGUAUAUGUUAGUUCGGUUUGCUUGCGAGUACAUUCAAAAGUACUUAGCGGCUUUUAACAUGGCCAGGUUCACGUAAGGAUCCAUCGUCCGCCAUCGAGGAACCGGAGCCUUCACGGGCUAGGAGAGUAACUAUUGGGGAUAUUAUCUGUUGGGUAACCCGCCCUAGUUGGGCCGGGUCACCCAAGUUGGCGACUCAUCUCCAAGUGGUUCCGGCCUUGGUCCAGCAAGGCCGGGAGUCGUAUGGCGGUUCAGGACCUUUGGGAGAAGUCCAUAGUAGAGAAGAUCUCCGAGUCUUGGAAAGAUGGCGAUUUAGAGAUCGGAAGAAUCACGAUUUGUGUAAAGGAAAGGACCCUUGUAAGCCCUAAGGACUCGACCUGUAUAUAAAGGCGAGUCCCCGGGAAGGAGAAGGCAGGUUAGAAAUCAUCGAGUGCUAGGUCAGGCGAGUUACGCCCCCUUGUAAUCGAAACAUCAUCAAUACAAACUCCAAGCAGGACGUAGGCUUUUACCUCCUCACGAGGGGCCGAACCUGGGUAAAUCUCUUUCUCGCUCCCACAUAACCCCUUUGAGUCGCCACCAAGGUGCGAUGUCUCCAACACUAAGUCCUUUCACGAGGACAUCUGCCGUGACAAAACCACGAUAGUAACUGAGUCAGAUCCCUGUGGAUUGGAGCCACACCAAGACCAUGUUGCCUUAGAUAGAGUUUUUCCGCUGCCAUCACCCUUGUAGUAUAUCAUGUAAGACUCAUAUAUCCAUUAAUAGAAAUGCCUGUGUUCAUGAUACUUGUUGUAAACGUGCAUGCCAGAGUGAUUUCCUGGGCUGGUAUGCGCGGCGACUGGCUGGCUACAGUGAUAAUCAAGCGGGGCGCCACAAGCAAUGGUAUCAGAGCAGCCAGGUUGACUGUAGGUUACGCUAGCCAGACUUCAUUGUCUUGUGUUCAGUAGAAGGCCCAGAUGGAUUUCAUCCAUCUUUGCCACCUCGCACGGCUACUAUUGAUCAUAAGGCAACCCCAUAGGUUUUCGGCUCCAUCAGACCCUAACUCUCAUGGCCUUUGCCUCCGAUGUGAAAUACUCGCACCCGACAACGACCCGUGAGCCCUGAAACCACUAGGUAAACCAGAUAUCCUUACCCCUUCUUGCUAGCCAUGACAUUUCUCUCCUUACUCUAGUUUCCUUUGGGAGACGCUUAUAAAUUCCAUCUUUCCCCGAUAACCCUAGAAUCGUUGACUAAGCCAUUUUGGCUAUGGUCCUGUGUCGAGAGUGAUGUUCUCUAAGGAAGUAGUAGGAGCUUGACACCAGUGCUACCAGGAGCAUUGUGUGGUUUUGCUUCUAAAUCCUUAGAGAUGCAUCGAGUGUGAUAUAAUAGUUAUACUAGUGAACCUUCGGCCAUGUGUGUAAGGUCCGCAACAUUUUAGCUUUAUCUGCUUUUUGGUUUUUCACGGUUCUUGUUUCUUCUGUCGAUUAUGUUUCUCCGCUCCGACUGGAUCCAUCUGCAAGAUUUGUCUAAGAAGAUCAACAUGCAAACGGGAUAAUACCCAAUAAUCCCCAUUUCAACAAAAGUCAAGCCAUGCCAACUGCCUGAUAUUAUGAACAUUACCACCGUAUCUGUCAAGAAUUAAGAAUGGGCCGGAAGCAGAAUCGUGUGCAACAGAAAAGGCCAGAAUAUACCUAAGAGACUUGGCCUUAGAACCGUUCAUACCCAAGGAAGCAUUCAGGAGAGCUACUAAGAAUGAACAUCAGUAGGGACAAAUUAUUCAGUCCGCGAUACAAGGAUUAUUGUAGUUAAGUAAUGUGAACCCUGAGUCUUCUCUCCAUGGACCCAUAAAACCAUCUAUUACCCAUCGAGGACCAUGUUUCAAGAAUGUGAAUAAGCCAAAACCAGCAACAAAACUCCGGUACGUUGGUACAAAUUUCAAAGCAUAUUUUGAAGUUCACCAGUACAAAUACAAAGUUUUGUGGACACUGUGAACAAGGUUUGCAAGGAACAUGGAUAAGUUUAAGGUUGCUAGAAUCAAUGAGAACUUCACAUGCUUGGAAGCUCAACUGAACCAAAUGGAAUCAUCUCUCAACUGCUUACUAUCGGCAACACCGGGUUGAAUGCAAAGCGUAUUCUGAAUUGGUUAAAGACAUGAGGUCUGCGUCAGUCAUGCAACCUUUACAUCAACAGUAAUCAGACCAGCACAAGGACAAGCGAUGUGCAUGACCAAUGGAAUAUCUCCAGUCAAGGUAUGGCCUAUAUCAUGUUGUGGCUCUGCUAUGGGUAAAAUUCCGGAUACUUCAAAAGGAAGCCAGAACCAGCCCUAGAUCUGACGAUACAUCACAGCAAAAGGCUUCUAGUAUAAGGAACCCAACCUUCCCCCACAAGCUACCAAGAAGAGCUUACUGCCAAUCCUCCUUGGUACGCCCCUCGGUGAGAGAUCCUUAUGGGAUACGUCACUCCCAUCUUCCAUAGCGUGCUACCGCGAAAAAUUUCCGACAUUAGGAACCCGACUUUUAGCAGUAAGGCACAUGAAGGAAAACUUUUGAGGUAUGGUACCCAGCCUUCUUCAGCUCGCUACUCUAGCAGAAGCUUUGAGCAUAAGGAAUUCAGUCUUCGCCAUCGUGCCUACAAUAAGUGUGUCAUAAGCAAGAACUAGUCUGGACACACAUUCGCCUCAGAACUUAGUGGUUAUGAAAGGAUUUAUCCUACACCUGCAUAUAUUGAGAGCAUGUAGUCCAGUGGAUCAGUUCAUACAAGCCACUCGUACAUGGGAAUGACUGCGUUCAGAGAAACGUUGGCCCCCUGUUUAAAAGAAGAAUAUGAGCACAUCAACCCCUACGAGAUAUGCAAGAGUAAGUUGUGAAAACAAGCCAACACAUAGGGAAAACAAUCAACGAAUAGUGUUGGCAGGACAUGAAAAGUACAUCAAAGGAACCUUCAAGAACAGAAGAAGUUGUGGACAAACAACCUCCGUGACGGUCAACAAGAUACAACUUCACAGAAAGAGAGGUAUUACUAGUUCUUGUCAGGCUGUUGCAUAUGCGGCCACAACAAUGCACUACUUACGGUUACAAGUGAGUUUGCCGCACUCAUCAUGAAUAUGGGCCAUCAACCCAGAUAAGAGGCUAUGCCCUAAAAGAUACACCAAAUGAUAGCCAUACUAGGCACAUAUCAGUGGUCACAGCAAGGACUACAGAGGCUAUAUAUGACAGAGCCAUCUCCACGAGCAACAAAGUCUGAACAAGACAUUAAGGUAGAAUGGCUCAAGGUACAUCAACAUCAACAUCUCAUAGACAUCAUGACAUCAUUGGAAUAAGAGACUACUGUAUAUGAUUAUUUUUUGACCAUGCCUGACAUUUCAGUUGAGGAUAUAGCAACCAUAGUUCAGUCAUGAUUCCUGGAAUUAUAGAUCACCUAAGGGCAAAGUCAGAAUGCCUAAGGCAAAAGGAAACACCACAAUAGAACCCACAGCCCGACUGAGCAUUCUGACACAACAAAAAGAAAGCCACUCCUAGUCACUCAAGACCAUAAAGCACAUGAGCCUGGUACCAGGAAAGGAUGUAGUACCCAUGAUAGUUAGGGUAUGAAGCAUUACAAUAAAGCCGAAGCAGAUACUUCGAGGCCCUGGAACUAAGAUGAUAGUUGGUAGUACCCGCUACCCCACCCCGCAACACCACUAUCAGAAUAAAGGGUACACCUGACAGGAAAGAGAAGGAUUCAAGAAAGCUAUGUGCAGAGACAACAACGGGUCCCUCCGGAGAGUUAGUUUAAAAGGCCAGUGAAACAAGGAAGACAAGAUCGCCGAUGGAUCCAAGUCGCACACAGGUAAGUCCCCCUUUCCCGGGAGGUAAGCCUGGAAAUCUCGAGGAUGAGAUUUUCUUAAGGGGGGUAGGUUUGUAACACCCUCGUUUUCGCUCCCUGUUUUUUUUUCAUUUGCGGGAUUUGACUCCCGUCUUUUUUCUCGGUGUUAUCAAAUUUCUUUCACUCCUGGGUAUAUGAAGAUGUUCAUCUAUCCUUGCCUUGCCCAUCCAACCAAAGAUUCUCCUUAGUUCAACCUGGCCACCCAAGAUCUUUUCUCAGGGUUUUGCCAUCAAAACCCUACCUUUUGAGUUGCCGAAAGGGAAACCCUAAUCCUUCGAGUAACAAAGGAACCCCAAUUUCCUUUGCCUUGUUGCCUCCCAAACUUUUCCCAGUGAUCAUCCUUCAUCUUUAAAUCCUGGAUAUGCAAAAAUAUUGCCAAGUCAUUUGCAAUAUUUUCCAUUUAUAAUUAAUUCCUUUUUCUGUCAGUUGAAGGAAUUAAAUCCAGGAAAAUAUCUAUCCAUCUCCAAAGUUCAUGAAAACUUGUAGAGAUAUUUCUUGUGAUCAUAUUGAGCUCCCAUAAAAUAUUGGCCAUUAUUAAAUGAGGGAAAAUUUCCUUUUUUCCUAUUUAAUGCCAAUAUUGCAUUUUCGGCACUUUCUAAAGGAACUACCAUUUUGGUAGCCACGAAAAUUCCCGAAUAAAUUGUGGAGCUUCUCCUAUCUAUAUAUUCUACAUUUCCAUCAAUAUCCCAAGUUUCAUAGUUCAAAUUUUGAGCACAACAUCCCUUUGCAAAUUCUGUCCAUAUUUCCUGUCUAUAAAAGAAGUGCUUGAUUCCUUGAUCUCCUUGAGCUAAAAAAUUUCAUGGUGGUUAACAUUGCCAAAUCACUCAUGGAAAACAAAAAUCAGCUCAAUCCCUCUAUCAAUCUUCUCCCAGGAGUUUUUCCAAGUUCCCGUCCAUUUGAAAGCACUGUGAAGGAAGUACCAUUUUGGUGUCUCCAAAUGGUAUGAAACUUUUACAGUAGCUUCAUUUACUCAAAUAACUUCUCUCCACCAAAUUUGAUACAUUGUCAUCUAGCCAUUUGACCCCAACAUCUCCAUUUCCAGUUCUGGUCAGACUGCCAAGUUGCAAAGGGAGUACCAUCUAGAUUGGUUAAUUGGAGCUGAGAUUUUUCCAACUUAGUCACCUUAGUUGAUGGAUAACCCUUGAGAGAGAUCUUUCCAAGAGGUGCACUGUGGUGGCCACAACACAUCACAAACAGGUUGUUCUUAGCAACUGUUUGACCUUGGCCGAGUCACCUCAGAACCCUCUAGAGGCACUCAGCUGCAUGGGUCAACUCAGUGAAGCAAGGAGAAGGCCCCACGCAUCGUUUGGAUGCGAGUGGGGUGUGGAGAGGCCAUGGACACGCGGUGACCACAGGCAGAACGUGCCAAAUGUGUGCCCUGUGCACCAGAGGCAUCCAGAGUCGUCCCUUGCCGGUUUUAUCCUGUCCUCGGGUGUCGGCGAGCUCCCGAUUGCAUGCGUGAUCCAUCUAGAGGCUUCUCCCCCUCGUUUCCUAGGUGGGGAAGCGGUGUGGAGACGCGGUCGCGGCAUCACGUAGCUCGAAGCUUCGGUCGCCGGCGAGCACCACCGCGAACCUUCUCUCCGCGGCUAUUUAAGGAGCGUGCCCGAGCGCCUCCCCUCAUUAGCAAGCCCAACCCCUCCCAAGCUCGUUGGAGCAACCACCCCUGCCCAAUUUGGUAGCUCCGGCCGCCAUUGCCGCCGUCUGUCCUGCUCAAAUUCGAGCUAGCGGUGACUCCCCUGACCCUCUUUUCCCUUCUAGAAGAACCACCAGAGCCCCUCGAGCCCUCCCCUAUCCUCGUUCCGUCCCUGGGUCAUUCGUGGCCUCGCCUCCGAAUCUAGGCGGAGCCCUAACCUGCGGGAGCCUACGCCAUCGCGGCUCGGAUCCUCAUCGCCGCCCAUGCUCUAGUAGGACGGAGGCGGCGUCCUCUCCUGAGCACGCUGGUGGAUGAGGCGCUUCGGGGGAUGGUCAGAGCCGUCAGGGGCCAGUGCCGACACCGCGCGACCUCUCUUCUGCCUUCUAUGUCGCGGGAGGAAGAAGAAAGAGGAGGAGAGAGAGAGCUACCGGACAGGUGGGCCCUGACCCCACUUGUCGAUGAGAGGAGGCCUGGUCCCGCUGGAUAAGUGGAUGCGCAAAGCUAGUAAUGCGCUUUCCUUUUUGGAAAGCAUAUUUCCAGAGAAGGCGCCAUCAGUUUUUCCUGCCAGGACCUGAGAGUAAAUAUUUUAAUUGCAGAUUGGUCCUUCUACUUCAAACACCCAUAUAUUUUCAUCCGUAGCUCCGAUUGAGGUGAUUCCAACGCCCACAUCUUCGUCUCGUGGAGCCCUUCAUGUUGGUAUAAUUUUCAUUAUGUGUUCACAUUAUGAAAAUGAGCAUGUUGCGCUUGCCCUUCUAUCAGCCUUCUUCGAGAGAGAAUAGUUCCCGACGAUCCUUUCCGCGGACUCUCCGCACUUCUUCCGGGAGUAUUCUUCAACCCCAGGCAAGCCGACCAUCUGAUAUAUGACUUAAAGCAUUGCUCUGUGUUAUUCUUGUGUGUUUAAUUAAUUAUAUGCUUGUGCUAGAAAUAAUUAAUCUCCCUCCAUUUCUAUAUUGUCAUUUACAUUACCUGCUACUGAUCAUCUUAUCAUUGCAAUAAUGACUUGUCGUGAUAGAUGGUUAUGUUUUUAUCAUGCUUAACUACUACCAUCUCAAGUUAUUAUGAUAAACAACCAUGCUUGUUAAAUACUUGCUAAGGCUAAACCUAGUCGGUUGAUCAAGAGUCACCUAUCCGGGCUUAUCCAUGCAUCCACAUUUGCCUAUAUGGGACGGCCUUGACUUGGUCUGAUCGUGUGCUCUUCCACCGGUACCACCAGACAGCGAAGGCUAUGCGCGCAUGCUACCUUGGCCGAGUAGGCAGCGAUAACCUUGUGAGCCAGUUGAUUGUUUUGUGGCGGCGUCCCCGUUUGGGACAGUUUAGUUUGGCCACGACGGUGGCAGAUGUCAUGAGGACACAGGGGCCACCUACGGAAGGACUCCGGGGGAGGAUGAAUGCCGGUGGUACGAUGGAAGAGUCACGGGUCAGGCAG
rnacentral:lncRNA from 1 species